AGCAGCUGGGCUCUCGGAAGGCCACGCCACCCCCAAGGAGCAGGCCCAACCAGGAGAAGGUAAGGGAUGGCGUGGAGCCCUCCAGAGCCUGCAGAGUGAGCACCAUCUGCAGCGCGCUGGACCUGGAGCCUCCAAGGCAGGACUGCGUCACCGGGGAGACUCAAGAGGAAUUGAUACUUCGGCCCCCAGUGACAUGUACACGGUGUAAUGACAGGAAAUGAGCAGGUUUGCACAGAAACUGCUGGCCUGAAAUUUAAGAAGAAGACGUGGUCGCUUGUAAUACAGUUCCAUGGCCCUAAAUGCAAAAGUAUCAAAAAGUAUGCUGUGAAAAAUCUCCUUCCCACUUCUGUCCCAAGCAGCCUGGCUCCUCCUCUGCUGACAACUAAUAUUACCCAGAUUUUGGGUUACUUUUUGAUGACAGUCUAUACACACCAACAGUGGUGCAGUUUAGAUUUCAAAGUUUUGAUCAGUCCGAUUGCAGUAAAGUAAGACACCACCCACUUGGUCCUUAAGAAUCAGCAGAACUGCGUCUGUUCCAGGAUCGGUUGAGCUGAGAUGUACCUUUUAUUUGGAGAGGGAGCAUUUCAUCAAGUCAGUUCUCAGUGAAAU